rnacentral:rRNA from 1 species
UACGUAGGGUCCGAGCGUUGUCCGGAAUUAUUGGGCGUAAAGCGCACGUAGGCGGAUCGUUAAGUUGGGGGUGAAAUCCUGGAGCUCAACUCCAGAACUGCCUUCAAUACUGGCGAUCUAGAGUCCGGAAGAGGUGAGUGGAACUCCUAGUGUAGAGGUGGAAUUCGUAGAUAUUGGGAGGAACACCAGUGGCGAAGGCGGCGACCUGGGUCGAUACUGACGCUGAGGUGCGAAAGCGUGGGGAGCAAACAGG